GCCCUUGUGGCAUAAUGGUUAAGCACUCAGCUGCUAACUGAAAGGUUGGAGGUUCAAACCCAUCUAGCGGCU
rnacentral:tRNA from 1 species